rnacentral:rRNA from 1 species
GACGAACGCUGGCGGCGUGCUUAACACAUGCAAGUCGAACGGAAAGGCUCCAGCUUGCUGGAGUACUCGAGUGGCGAACGGGUGAGUAACACGUGGGUAAUCUGCCCUGCACUCUGGGAUAAGCCUGGGAAACUGGGUCUAAUACUGGAUAUGACCUUUCUCCUUAUGGGGUUUGGUGGAAAGUUUUUCGGUGUAGGAUGAGCCCGCGGCCUAUCAGCUUGUUGGUGGGGUGAUGGCCUACCAAGGCGACGACGGGUAGCCGGCCUGAGAGGGUGAUCGGCCACAUUGGGACUGAGAUACGGCCCAGACUCCUACGGGAGGCAGCAGUGGGGAAUAUUGCACAAUGGGCGGAAGCCUGAUGCAGCGACGCCGCGUGAGGGAUGACGGCCUUCGGGUUGUAAACCUCUUUCGGCAGGGACGAAGCGUAAGUGACGGUACCUGCUGAAGAAGCACCGGCUAACUAUGUG